AUUGAACGCUGGCGGCAGGCUUAACACAUGCAAGUCGAGCGGGGGAAGGUAGCUUGCCACCGGACCUAGCGGCGGACGGGUGAGUAAUGCUUAGGAAUCUGCCUAUUAGUGGGGGACAACAUCUCGAAAGGGAUGCUAAUACCGCAUACGUCCUACGGGAGAAAGCAGGGGAUCUUCGGACCUUGCGCUAAUAGAUGAGCCUAAGUCGGAUUAGCUAGUUGGUGGGGUAAAGGCCCACCAAGGCGACGAUCUGUAGCGGGUCUGAGAGGAUGAUCCGCCACACUGGGACUGAGACACGGCCCAGACUCCUACAGGAGGCAGCAGUGGGGAAUAUUGGACAAUGGGGGGAACCCUGAUCCAGCCAUGCCGCGUGUGUGAAGAAGGCCUUAUGGUUGUAAAGCACUUUAAGCGAGGAGGAGGCUACUUUAGUUAAUACCUAGAGAUAGUGGACGUUACUCGCAGAAUAAGCACCGGCUAACUCUGUGCCAGCAGCCGCAGUAA
rnacentral:rRNA from 1 species